AACGAACGCUGGCGGCAUGCCUAACACAUGCAAGUCGAACGAGACCUUCGGGUCUAGUGGCGCACGGGUGCGUAACGCGUGGGAACCUGCCCUUAGGUUCGGAAUAACUCCCCGAAAGGGGUGCUAAUACCGGAUAAUGUCUUCGGACCAAAGAUUUAUCGCCUUUGGAUGGGCCCGCGUUGGAUUAGCUAGUUGGUAGGGUAAAAGCCUACCAAGGCGACGAUCCAUAGCUGGUCUGAGAGGAUGAUCAGCCACACUGGGACUGAGACACGGCCCAGACUCCUACGGGAGGCAGCAGUGGGGAAUAUUGGACAGUGGGCGAAAGCCUGAUCCAGCAAUGCCGCGUGAGUGAUGAAGGCCUUAGGGUUGUAAAGCUCUUUUACCCGGGAUGAUAAUGACAGUACCGGGAGAAUAAGCUCCGGCGAACUCCGU
rnacentral:rRNA from 1 species